GCCUAAAAUCUAGCCCACACUACUCGCAUGACUUCCCCAAUCCCUUACCCUCAAACAAAACA
rnacentral:rRNA from 1 species